rnacentral:rRNA from 1 species
AACGAACGCUGGCGGUAUGCCUAACACAUGCAAGCCGAACGAGACCUUCGGGUCUAGUGGCGCACGGGUGCGUAACGCGUGGGAACCUGCCCUUAGGUUCGGAAUAACUCCCCGAAAGGGGUGCUAAUACCGGAUAAUGUCUUCGGACCAAAGAUUUAUCGCCUUUGGAUGGGCCCGCGUUGGAUUAGCUAGUUGGUAGGGUAAAAGCCUACCAAGGCGACGAUCCAUAGCUGGUCUGAGAGGAUGAUCAGCCACACUGGGACUGAGACACGGCCCAGACUCCUACGGGAGGCAGCAGUGGGGAAUAUUGGACAAUGGGCGAAAGCCUGAUCCAGCAAUGCCGCGUGAGUGAUGAAGGCCUUAGGGUUGUAAAGCUCUUUUACCCGGGAUGAUAAUGACAGUACCGGGAGAAUAAGCUCCGGCUAACUCCGUG